GCGCGGCUAGUUUAAAGGUAAAAUUACGGGCUUCCAACCCGAUGAUAACAGUUCGAUUCUGUUGCGGCGCUCCA
rnacentral:tRNA from 1 species